UACAGAGGUCUCAAGCGUUGUUCGGAUUCAUUGGGCGUAAAGGGUGCGUAGGUGGCGCGCUAAGUCAGGUGUGAAAUUUCGGAGCUCAACUCCGAAACUGCAUUUGAUACUGGCGUGCUUGAGGACUGGAGAGGAGACUGGAAUUUAUGGUGUAGCAGUGAAAUGCGCAGAUAUCAGGAGGAACACCAAUGGCGAAGGCAGCUCACUGGGACGGUAUUGACGCUGAGACGCGAAAGCGUGGGGAGCAAACAGG
rnacentral:rRNA from 1 species